rnacentral:rRNA from 1 species
AUUGAACGCUGGCGGCAGGCCUAACACAUGCAAGCCGAACGAGUGGCGGACGGGUGAGUCAUGUACGGGAAACUGCCUGACGGAGGGGGAUAACUACUGGACACGGUAGCUAAUACCGUAUACCAUCGGAUGAGCCCAGAUGGGAUUAGUUAGUAGGUGGGGCUAAGGCUCACCGAGGCCACGAUCUCUAGCUGGUCUGAGAGGGUGACCUGCCACACUGGAAGUGAGAGACUGUCCCGCGUCCUACGGGAGGCAGCAGUGGGGAAUAUUGCACAAUUGGCGAAAGCCUUCUGCAGCCAUGCGGCGUGUAUGAAGAAGGCCUUCGGGUUGUGGAGUACUUUCAGCGGAGAGACGUUACCCGCGGAGGAAGCACCGGCUAAGUCCGGGCCAGCAGCCGCGGUAAUUC